rnacentral:lncRNA from 7 species
AGGAGGUGUUGCUCGAGCAGCCAGCAGCAGCUGCAAGAGGGAGACUCAUGCUCCACUUGUCACCAAAACUCUCAGGGAAUAUGGGACUUGUGGCAUGGUUCACAGUCAGAAUGUGACCUUACAUAAAAUGGAAACCUGUGAAGAAAGUCACAGAUAGCAGCUGUGGGUAGUACUGGAAGAAUAUUUAUCUUCUUAAGCAUCAGCUUUUUAAAACGCUAUGGUGAUUUGGAAAGUCCCAAGAGUGAACUGUGAAGUUUUCUUCAGCUCGUUCAAUGGAUUUCUUAGGCAUUUCUACAAAUCAUUGAUGUCUAGAGAUGAUGUGUGAUGGAAAAAGCACCCUGCCUGUGCGUUUAUAGCCCCUGUUUUUUGGAUUAGUUUGCUGCAUUGCUGAACCAAUUUUGUUUUGAGGGCAAGGAGUGAAUGUGAUGGAUUUAUCUUCAGAGAUGAACAAACAUGGAAGGAAUCCAGUAAGUCACAAACUAGAAGAUCAAAAAAAGGGAGGAGCAUGUGCAGCUAUCAGCCUGAGCUGCAGCUUGUAAGACAGUGUUACAAGGAGUCUGACCUUGGAAAAGUAUGUUCUUACGUCUCAUGUCUGAGAUUGAUGUUACUGAUAGGUAAUGAGCUGUGUGCUGCAUUUUCAAAGGAAUAACUCUCGAUGCAGAUAUUCACUUUAAAAAUGCCGCAUGUCACUCCUUUCACAGCUCACAGAGUUCAGAAAUAGAGAGGAGGUGUAAGGCUUGGAGAAGUGUAAUUAAAUUGUGAUUGUAUCCUCUUGUUGGAAGGAACACCAAGCUGUUAGCAAUUGAAAAUUAAUAUACCUUGCCAACUGUUUGCCCUGGAUGAAAGAGUUGGCAAUUGCGCUGUAGUUCUCAGUGACCAGGUAUCCCCAUGACACAUAUCAUGAUGACAGUGUAUACAAAUUGCCAAUAUAUUUUGGAUUCUCAGAGAAGAUGAAGCACAGCGAAAGAAUUUACUUUACUACAACACUACCGUUUGUCGUCUGUACUCAGCGUAGAUGAUAGAAGAUGUUGUUGAGGAAUUCUCAGCUGUUGCUCUCUUUUGAUCUUUUUGAACUGAUCUGUAAAGAGCUUCCUAGUUUUCAUAAUUGCUUAAUCAAUCUUGAUUAUAUUCCUGGACCACUCUUAUUUAUUCAAAAAAAUUGUUUUUGUAUGC